GAUGAACGCUGGCGGCGUGCUUAACACAUGCAAGUCGAACGGAAAGGCUCCUGCUUGCAGGGGUACUCGAGUGGCGAACGGGUGAGUAACACGUGGGUGAUCUGCCCUGCACUUCGGGAUAAGCCUGGGAAACUGGGUCUAAUACCGGAUAGGACCACAUUUUGGAUGGUGUGGUGGAAAGUUUUUCGGUGUGGGAUGAGCUCGCGGCCUAUCAGCUUGUUGGUGGGGUAAUGGCCUACCAAGGCGUCGACGGGUAGCCGGCCUGAGAGGGUGUACGGCCACAUUGGGACUGAGAUACGGCCCAGACUCCUACGGGAGGCAGCAGUGGGGAAUAUUGCACAAUGGGCGCAAGCCUGAUGCAGCGACGCCGCGGGGGGGAUGACGGCCUUCGGGUUGUAAACUCCUUUCGCUAGGGACGAAGCGCAAGUGACGGUACCUGGAGAAGAAGCACCGGCUAACUACGUGC
rnacentral:rRNA from 1 species